rnacentral:tRNA from 1 species
GAGGAUAUAGCUAAGUGGUACAGCGCCUGCCUGGCAAGCAUGAAGUCCUGAGUUGGAGUCCCAGUAACCCCC